rnacentral:rRNA from 1 species
UUCGCAAUGCCCGAAAGGGUGACGAAGCGACGCCGCGUGUGGGAAGAAGGCCUUCGGGUUGUAAACCACUGUCGGGAGUUAAGAAAUGCAAGGAUAUGAAUAGUGUCUUUGCUUGACUAAGGCUCCGGAGGAAGCCACGGCUAACUCUGUGCCAGCAGCCGCGGUAAUACAGAGGCGGCAAGCGUUGUUCGGAAUUAUUGGGCGUAAAGAGCACGUAGGCGGCUAUGUAAGUCGGUUGUGAAAGCCUUCCGCUCAACGGGAGAACAGCAUCCGAUACUGCAUGGCUUGAGUGCGGGAGGGGAGAGUGGAACCUCUGGUGGAGCGGUGAAAUGCGUAGAUAUCAGAAGGAACGCCGGCGGCGAAAGCGGCUCUCUGGCUCAUAACUGACGCUGAGUGUGCGAAAGCUAGGGGAGCAAACGGGAUUAGAUACCCCGGUAGUCCUAGCCGUAAACGAUGGGCACUAAGUAGAGGGGUUUU